CUUCUCCUGAGAGUGUGGUCGACUCCCCUUGGUAUCCGGACUUUGGUGCUACCAAUCACCUUACUCUUAAGGCAUCAAAUUUGAGCUAUAGCACUAACUAUAAUGGGCAGCAAAAAAUUCAUACGGGAAAUGGUACAGGAUCACGUUAGUCGGAGGACCUUAUUGGUUGGGAGGCUUGACAAAGGACUCUACAAGUUUGAAACCAUUCAACUAGGACGUGUAGCUCAUCAAAAUACUAAGCCUAAGUCGCUUGAAGUUCCUAAGUAUAGAGUCAAUCAUGUAAAGAAUAAAGCAUGUUAUAGUCAUGACUUGUUCAUUUCUAAGUCUGAUUUUUCCUUGUGGCAUAAUAGACUUGGCCACCCUACUGCCCGAGUUGUAAAAGCUGCUAUAUCUUCUUGUAAUAUAAAACUUAGCAAUAAAACUCAGUCAGACUUAUGUGCAA